UGAGGUCAGCGGAGCCGCGGCCCCGGCGCCACCUCUGCAGCCACCUCUCCGCAGGUUUCGUUCCGGGCGCAUCUGCCUGGCUGCCGGGGCUUGGACCUUCUCGCCCCCCGAGCGCCCCCGCCGCGUGACUCAGUUUCCUCACCUGUAAGGAGUCCUGCUAGUGGUCGUACCUGCCUCCUAAGGGUCGUCACCCGCCGCAAGCAAGGGCUGGGUCGUUUAACAGCUGGUGAAAACGGACACCAAAAAACUGGGUUGCUGCGUGCAAUAUGGAGGCAGAGAGAUGAUGGACAGAGGAAGUGGGACCACAGUCUCUGCUGAAGGAUGCAGACUUCGCUCACUGUGCCUAACACUUGGUCUUAGAUGGAUCUCCAAGGCUCCUUGUAGCUCACAACUGGUCUUAUUUGCACAUACACCCUUUAAAAUAAUACUUCCCUUUGCUUAUCCAUUUAAACCAGAUUUGCAAAGGCUAGUGUUUAAUAAGCCCGAUCCAAAACGGAUAUAUGAAUUGGAGUGAAAAACAGAUCAAGAGUUGGCAGGACAUGGGAAACUUUCCCAACACCCAAACACUUCUCCAGAACUUCUGGAAUGCCCCAAUUAACAAUGACCCAGAUUGAGACAUCUGUAUUUCUUUCUUUUUUUUUUUUUUUUUUUUUUUUUGGAGAAUUUAUUUAUUCAUGAGAGACACAGAGAGGCAGAGACAUAGGCAGAGGGAGAAGCAGGCUCCCCACGGGGAGCAGACUCGAUUCCAGGACCCCGGGAUCACGGCCUGAGCCAAAGGCAGAUGCUCAACCACUGAGCCACCCAGGUGCCCCGAGAUAUUUGAAUAUCUGAAAGGCAAGAGCCCUCACUCCUACAGCUGUGUAGCCCAGCUGGACCAGCAGUUUGCUUUGCACAUAGUAGGCCCUCAAUAUUUUAUUGAAUUAAAUGGCCAUGUUUGUGGCUGAGCGCUCAACAUUUAAGGAGUCGUUGGGAACCACAGAUGAUGUUACUCAAGGGACAUCACUGCAAACAUCAUUAACAGGAACCCCCAAGUCACUAGUGAAGGAGUUAAUGGGAUUUUGGAAUGAACAACCCUGGCCACAGGCUUAUUUGGCAAAAUAAAGUGGAAAUUUCAGAUACAUUUUUUCCAUAACUUAUAUGGGUAAUCUUUUAAAACUUUAUUUUGGACCUAAUGAUGAGUAACACUGAUUCAAUUUUAUGCUUCAGUGAUAGUCCUCUGACUCUAUAGUACAGUUAAAGCUCCAAAGUCCCCACAUUUUCCCCCAAAUCCAAGCGUCACCAGUGAGUUAUGUCACUUCAGUAUAAAACCAGUAUUUGUUCUUAGGUAUAACUUCAGGGGCUUGCCAUAAUUUUUGUAUUUUUAAGCAUCUUGGAGGUAUUGUUAAAUGGCAAACACAGAUUUCUGUCUAUAUCCCCAGUGUAGGGCUUCACUCUGGGGUAGGCAUGCAAAUUCACUUAUCUGCAGCAUACGAUAAACAUAGAACUUGUGUCAGUGAUUAUCAUGGAAAUAAAGAUAGAAUCAUUUUUCCUCUAAAUUGGGGAUGGGCAAACUUUUUCUUAAAGGGGAAACAUAGUAAACAUGAAGGCAACUGUAGACAAUAUAUAAUAGGAUGAAAGUGCCUUGAUUCCAUUAAAAACUUACUUAUGGCAAUAAAUGGGUUUGAACCACAAGGCACUAUUUUGCUGAUUGAUCCCUCAGUAAUUGUAUUUAUAUUAAAUUCAUUCCAUUUUUAUAUUCACUCCAAUGUGAAUUGCCAGAUAUUAAAAUACAAAGGGUAAAAGCUUGAUAUCAAUAAAGCACCAAAAAGUCAAAAGUCCUACGGAGUAAGUUUGUGUUACCAAUAAAAUGUUUCACGUAUACCAAAGGUUUAGAACUACAUCUCAUAUACUAUAAUGGAAUAAGGUAGGUGGACAUUUGUAUGUCAUUUUUGCAAAAGCUAUGAGCUGUGGUAAUGGAAAUACUUAAAAUGUUGACAAAGAGUGCAUGUUUAAACCUCUCCCCGCUACCCAUAGGAUGCUAUAGUUACUAAAGCCAGAAGUACAAUUUGAGCUGAGAACGUAAGAACAUAGAGAAAAAAUAAUCCUCCAAAUCAUCCAUCCUUCACUGUCAUCUAGAGAAGGUGGAUCAAAGUGUAGGUCCUCUGAGUGUCCUGUAAAUUGAGAAUUCGAAAUGUGAAUCCAUGGCUAUUUGAUCCAUUCCAUUUUUUUUAAUACGGGUAAGCAGAUAGCUCCUGGGGAAGAUGCAGCAGAGAGGAGAGCGAAGACGGUGGUAAUAAAGCUGUGGAAAGUUCUGUGCACGUUUUCAUCCUCAAUAGCAGCAGUACUUUCGGAAAUUUCAUCAGUGCCUGGUACAGCUCUCUGUAAAUGAUUGUAGAAGAAUAAAGGAAGAGAAGGAGGAGGGAGGAACAAAGUUCAGGAAACUACUCAAAGGUAUUACCAGCAGGAAGAUAUUCAACACAGGGGAUCCGAUGUACAAACUCUUUGGAAGGAGCCAACGGGGGAAGGUGAACAACACAACUCCUGGGUUAUUCCACAGCAGUUGAUGUCAGGAAGCUGCUGCAUCCAGAGUCAGAAAUCACAGGGAAUGACAUGAAAUCACUGCCAAUGUCACAGCUGCCUCACAGCUUAGAAGCUGCUCCAUCCAACCUAGAUGACUGCCAACAAUUUCCAGAGCUGCAUGCAUCAUCAUCUCAAUCAGGAAGUGAGCAGCCCUCAGCCAACACUCUUCUCUGCCUCUGACUCUGAAUGAAGUAGCAGGCUAUGCUGAUAAGGAGGAAGCAAUAGCUAUAAUCUAUAUAAUCUACUCCCCGCAAUAAAGAUUCCGAUGUGAUGUUAUCCCCGAGAACCUGGGACGAUGCAGUUCAGUUGAAGAUGGCUAAAUUGCUGAUUCGUAUGUGAUACCAACACCACGGCAUUUCUCAAAGAAUAGCAAAUAUACUCUUUUUGACAAAAUGUUAAGAUCCACCUUUUCCAGUAUUGCAAAAUCUAGAACAACAACAACAAAAAAAAAAACCAUAUGGGAACCCUCUCUCAUUUUCACUGUAACAAAAGACUGAACUAUAACAAAAUCUGCACUUAGUAGACAGGCUCGACAUGGUGGCCAAUGUUAUAGAUAAUGGCUAGUGAUAACGCUGCUGCAUCAUGUACUUACCUGGGCAAUGAAUAACCUGUUCCUAUUGACUUCAUCGGUAAAACUGGAACUUUCGAAAUGGCAGUAAUAAACAAUGGGAGAAAAGAGGUGGCAAAUGAGAGUGAGCCAGGAGACAGAAGAACUGGGUUCCUCUGCAUCUAUGCUGCACAGCCUUGAGCUAGCUACAUCAUCUCCCCAAACCCCAGUUUCCUCAACAAUGAAACAAAAGAUGAUAGCAAGAGAACCUAUAUCACUGAAUUGUUUUAGAUGCUCGAUAAAUUCCCAUCUAAGAAGGUAUCUUCUCAAUGGGUCCUUCCCUGCUACCAUCUUAGCUUAGAUUCCCCAAAAAAACAGAGCCUGAGGAAGAUGCUUAUGUGUACUUUAUCGGAGAUUGUGAUUUCGGGGGUCAGAAGAGAGAGGAAAAGGGGCAAAGCAGGGCAGGUGGACUUACACAAGGAUACGAAAUAGCAAUACAAAGUUGGUGACUGGUCACUUGAUCCUAUAGGACCAAUGGAGAACUCUUUCAAUAGGUCCCUUAGGACCCUCCAUUUAUGGAGGUGGGUGGAGGAGAAAGGAGGAAGCAUGUAUCUAUCAGCUCCUCUCCCACAUUGGUCAAAGGUUAGCCCCAGGGGGUGUUGAAGAAAGUAAUCUAGAGGACACGACUGCUGGUUGAACUUCAAGCUGGACCUGGGCAAUCAGAGGUCCUCAUCCCCACCCUAGUUCCUUAAAAAGUAUACUCUGCCUCUAGUUCUCAGAGUGGGAGCUGUUCCAAAGACACAGGCUUGAGAGGAUAAGGUGUUGUUGAGACCAUCUGGAUGGUUUGUGUGACUGAACCCAGUUAAGGCCACUAUAGGCUUUUAAAAUUGGGCAGGCAGGUGUGGAGACCUACACAUUUUGCCUCCAUCCAAGAUAGCCACAUAUGUAAGUUCCCUUAUUUAACCUGCCACCUACCAAUCUGGAAUAACCUGCUUCUUUUCUUUGGUCUCUUUUUGCCCUGCAAAUAUGGGGGCGAGUUUGCAAACCAACAAGGGUUGUUAAGUAACCUGCACCUCUGGGUCAGGCAUCCACAAGUCUGAGCACUGAGAGAUGUGUCAUACACCUUGUCAUCAAUAGGGCAGCCCUAGGACGGGAGACGAAAGGCAGGUGGUGCUACCAGGUUGCACCUGCAUCAGGCUGACAUCAGAGUCUGUAUUCAAGAGACUUGAAGACAAAACAGGUGUCUAACCCACCAUCUAUUUAAAAUUGCAAAUACCCCACUCUGGAAUUUCUUAUCCUUCUACCCUGCUUAUUUGUCUUCAUUUUACUUAUCACCAUCCAAUAUACAACAUCAUUUGCUUUUUUAGUUCAUUCUGUCUCCCCAAUUAGGAUGUCAACUACCUGAUGGCAAGAAGUUUUCUUUUGUAACCUGCUGUAUCUCAAUAAUUAGAACAAUGUCUGGCAUAGCAUAGGUCCUCUAUAAAAAUUAUUUUUUAACUAUUUGUUUUGAUAUAUCAAAUGUAUAGAAAAUUCGCAAAGAAAAAAAUAGUACAGAGAACAUCCACAUAUACUUUAGUCAAAUUUACCAUUAUUAACAUUUUACAUUUGUGCUCAUGCUCGCUCACUCUCUCUUACACACACACAGACACACACAUAUUCUGAACCAUUUGAGAAUAAUAUGUAAACAUCACGGUUAUUCUGUAUGUUAGUAAAUU